rnacentral:lncRNA from 1 species
GCCAAACAGCGGAUUAAUUAUCCAUCAAACUAAUCAUGCCAAUUAUUUUAUCCUAAACCCACCACAUUUAAUUACGAUAUCGGUAGUCGAUCGAUGCUUGCUAGAACCGGCCACAACUUGCAAUGAAACUCCUCUUGGUCUGAAAAACUAAUUGACAGCCAAUCCACGCGUGUGCCUUCACCAACAAGCCACCAUGAAACUUCUCACGCCGAUUAAUUAGUUACAUAUCGCUCGACCAUUUACUUAGUUACAUAUCGCUUUAAUUAUGGCCCGCAACUGCAUCAGCUUCCUCAUCUUGAUAUCAGGAUGCAAACAUGGGUUUCGAUUGCUGCUGCAGUAAUCAUGAAAACAUACAAAAAGAGGUAGUAUUUGCCACCUUUACAUUUUGAUGGAACUGGAUCAUGCUUAAGAUAUGCUAUCCUGGUGACUGGCUAAAAGGGGGUGAAUAAAAGGGUGAUUAGUGGGUGGCUACCAGAAAGUAAAAAAAGAAGAUGGUAGAAGAAGAGGCU